GCUGAGCUACUUUGGAAGCUACUGUUGAAGCUCCUUGGAUGCUAUGUUUACUAUUUGGAUGCCAAAGUCUCGCACUGCCUGUGCCACUGGGGUUUUUUGGAUGGGGAAAAAGGGCUGCUCAGGGGCGGCUUUUCCUCUGCAGAUGUUUGUGGGCCAGCUACAGGCUGCUCUGGGAGACAAGCCCUUGCCAGUGAAGAAGUGGCUUUCAGAGAUUGUACGCACCCCCCGUACAGUGGACGGCAGCAUUAAAGCACGCAAAACUAUUUUGUUUGGGGAUUGAUGGAAGAGUGGCUUGUAUGACGUUUGGUCUCCUGAUGUAGUACAGCCCUCUGUGUUAUAUCCUAUUGGCCCCAUGAGUCCUCAAGCUCUAGCAGAAAGCAAGGCAUAUGAAGGAUAGAAAUCAGGUGCUUCAAAUCUGGCCCAGCAUCAGACAGAAGAUGGAACGUAUUUA